rnacentral:rRNA from 1 species
CGGAGGCUACCGCUAUUGGAGUCCUUCUCCUAAGGGAUGCGAGUCGCGAGUCUUAGGGACUCGGCGUACCGCUCAGUAACACGUGGGUAACCUGCCCUAUGCUGGGGAAUAACCUCGGGAAACUGAGAAUAAUGCCCCAUAGUUCACCACGCCUGGAACGGUGGGUGGAUCAAAGCUCCGGCGGCAUAGGAUGGGCCUGCGGCGUAUCAGGUCGUAGGGGGUGUAAUGUACCCUCUAGCCAUCGACGCGUACGGGUGUUGGGAGACAUUGCCCGGAGAUGGAUUCUGAGACACGAAUCCAGACCCUACGGGGUGCAGCAGGCGCGAAAACUUGGCAAUGCGAGAAAUCGUGACCAGGGAACUCCAAGUGCAUCGGGUAAGACCGAUGCUUUUCUUGACUCUUCAACGGUCUUGGAAUAAGGGGUGGGUAAGGACGGUGCCAGCCGCCGCGGUAAUACCGGCGCCUCAAGUGGUAGUCGCUUUUAUUGGGCCUAAAACGUCCGUAGCCGGUUUGGUACAUUCGUGGGUAAAUCAAGGCGCUCAACGUCUUGAAUUCUGCGAGCACGGCCAGACUUGGGACCGGGUGAGGUGUGGGGUACUCUCAGGGUAGGGGUAAAAUCCUGUCAUCCUGAGAGGACCACCUGUUGCGAAGGCGCCACACUAGAACGGAUCCGACGGUCAGGGACGAAGCCUAGGGGCACGAACCGGAUUAGAUACCCGGGUAGUCCUAGGUGUAAACGCUGUGGACUUGAUGUUGGGAGUGCUCCGAGCACCCUCAGUGUCGAAGCGAAGGUGAUAAGUCCACUGCCUGGGGAGUACGGUCGCAAGGCUGAAACUUAAAGGAAUUGGCGGGG